UGGAUUAGUGGCGAACGGGUGAGUAACACGUGAGUAACCUGCCCUUAACUCUGGGAUAAGCCUGGGAAACUGGGUCUAAUACCGGAUAGGAGCGUCCACCGCAUGGUGGGUGUUGGAAAGAUUUAUCGGUUUUGGAUGGACUCGCGGCCUAUCAGCUUGUUGGUGAGGUAAUGGCUCACCAAGGCGACGACGGGUAGCCGGCCUGAGAGGGUGACCGGCCACACUGGGACUGAGACACGGCCCAGACUCCUACGGGAGGCAGCAGUGGGGAAUAUUGCACAAUGGGCGCAAGCCUGAUGCAGCGACGCCGCGUGAGGGAUGACGGCCUUCGGGUUGUAAACCUCUUUCAGUAGGGAAGAAGCGAAAGUGACGGUACCUGCAGAAGAAGCACCGGCUAACUACGUGCCAGCAGCCGCGGUAAUACGUAGGGUGCGAGCGUUAUCCGGAAUUAUUGGGCGUAAAGAGCUCGUAGGCGGUUUGUCGCGUCUGUCGUGAAAGUCCGGGGCUUAACCCCGGAUCUGCGGUGGGUACGGGCAGACUAGAGUGCAGUAGGGGAGACUGGAAUUCCUGGUGUAGCGGUGGAAUGCGCAGAUAUCAGGAGGAACACCGAUGGCGAAGGCAGGUCUCUGGGCUGUAACUGACGCUGAGGAGCG
rnacentral:rRNA from 1 species